rnacentral:rRNA from 1 species
CCUUCCGUAGGUGAACCUGCGGAGGGAUCAUUACACAACAAAAUAUGAAGGCCUGGCUUUCGCGGCCGGCUGAAGUAUUUUUUUCACCCAUGUCUUUUGCGCACUUGUUGUUUCCUGGGCGGGUUCGCCCGCCACCAGGACCAAACCAUAAACCUUUUUUUUCUUAUGCAGUUUCCAUCAGCGUCAGUAAAAACAAUGUAAUUAUUACAACUUUCAACAACGGAUCUCUUGGUUCUGGCAUCGAUGAAGAACGCAGCGAAAUGCGAUACGUAGUGUGAAUUGCAGAAUUCAGUGAAUCAUCGAAUCUUUGAACGCACAUUGCGCCCUUUGGUAUUCCAAAGGGCAUGCCUGUUCGAGCGUCAUUUGUACCUUCAAGCUUUGCUUGGUGUUGGGCGUUUUUUUGUCUCCCUCUUUCUGGGAGACUCGCCUUAAAACGAUUGGCAGCCGGCCUACUGGUUUCGGAGCGCAGCACAUUUUUUGCGCUUUGUAUCAGGAGAAAAGGACGGUACUCCAUCAAGACUCUACAUUUUUCACUUUUGACCUCGGAUCAGGUAGGGAUACCCGCUACUUAAGCAUAUCA